rnacentral:tRNA from 1 species
CGCAGGGUAGAGCAGUUUGGUAGCUCGUCGGGCUCAUAACCCGAAGGUCGUAGGUUCAAGUCCUACCUCUGCUA